rnacentral:rRNA from 1 species
AUGAUGCAGAGGAAGAAACAUACUGUAUAUCCAUUGGUUUAUCGACUUUUGAAGCUAAUACUAGUAUUUCCUAUUGCCACUGCUACAUUUGAGAGAUCUUUUUCAGCUAUGAGAAUUGUGAAGCCAUAUUUGUGCACUCGUCUUGGUGAUGACGCCUUGAUGCACAACCUUAUUUGUUAUGUGGAGAACAGCUAA